CAUAAUAGAUAGCUUGCUAUCUAUGGUGGCGACCGGCGCACGGGUGCGUAACGCGUAUGCAACCUACCAUUAACAGGGGGAUAACACUGAGAAAUUGGUACUAAUACCCCAUAACACAUUGGAAGGCAUCUUUUAAUGUUGAAAGUUCCGGCGGUUAAUGAUGGGCAUGCGUUGUAUUAGAUAGUUGGUGAGGUAACGGCUCACCAAGUCGACGAUACAUAGGGGGACUGAGAGGUUAACCCCCACACUGGUACUGAGACACGGACCAGACUCC
rnacentral:rRNA from 1 species